CCUACGGGUGGCAGCAGUGGGGAAUAUUGCACAAUGGGGGAAACCCUGAUGCAGCGACGCCGCGUGAGUGAAGAAGUAUUUCGGUACGUAAAGCUCUAUCAGCAGGGAAGAAAAUGACGGUACCUGACUAAGAAGCCCCGGCUAACUACGUGCCAGCAGCCGCGGUAAUACGUAGGGGGCAAGCGUUAUCCGGAUUUACUGGGUGUAAAGGGAGCGUAGACGGCAGCGCAAGUCUGGAGUGAAAUCCCAUGGCUUAACCAGUGAACUGCUUUGGAAACUGUGCAGCUAGAGUGCAGGAGAGGUAAGCGGAAGUCCUAGUGUAGCGGUGAAAUGCGUAGAUAUUAGGAGGAACACCAGUGGCGAAGGCGGCUUACUGGACUGUAACUGACGUUGAGGCUCGAAAGCGUGGGGAGCAAACAGGAUUAGAUACCCUGGUAGUC
rnacentral:rRNA from 1 species